rnacentral:rRNA from 1 species
AGAUUGAACGCUGGCGGCAUGCCUAACACAUGCAAGUCGAACGGGAGUAGCAAUACUCUAGUGGCGGACGGGUGAGGAAUACGUAGGAAUUUGCCCUUAAGUGGGGGAUAACCCGGGGAAACCCGGAUUAAUACCGCAUGACCUCGAAAGAGCAAAGUGGGGGAUCGCAAGACCUCACGCUUUUGGAGAAGCCUACGUCGGAUUAGCUAGUUGGUGAGGUAAUGGCUCACCAAGGCGACGAUCCGUAACUGGUCUGAGAGGAUGAUCAGUCACACCGGAACUGAGACACGGUCCGGACUCCGUACGGGAGCAGCAGUGGGGAAUAG